rnacentral:rRNA from 1 species
CAACCUGGGAACUGCAUUCGAAACUGGCAGGCUAGAGUCUUGUAGAGGGGGGUAGAAUUCCAGGUGUAGCGGUGAAAUGCGUAGAGAUCUGGAGGAAUACCGGUGGCGAAGGCGGCCCCCUGGACAAAGACUGACGCUCAGGUGCGAAAGCGUGGGGAGCAAACAGGAUUAGAUACCCUGGUAGUCCACGCCGUAAACGAUGUCGAUUUGGAGGUUGUGCCCUUGAGGCGUGGCUUCCGGAGCUAACGCGUUAAAUCGACCGCCUGGGGAGUACGGCCGCAAGGUUAAAACUCAAAUGAAUUGACGGGGGCCCGCACAAGCGGUGGAGCAUGUGGUUUAAUUCGAUGCAACGCGAAGAACCUUACCUGGUCUUGACAUCCACAGAACUUUCCAGAGAUGGAUUGGUGCCUUCGGGAACUGUGAGACAGGUGCUGCAUGGCUGUCGUCAGCUCGUGUUGUGAAAUGUUGGGUUAAGUCCCGCAACGAGCGCAACCC